rnacentral:rRNA from 1 species
UGCAAGUCGAACGGAAAGGCCCCUUCGGGGGUACUCGCGUGGCGAACGGGUGAGUAACACGUGGGCAAUCUGCCCUGCACUUCGGGAUAAGCCUGGGAAACUGGGUCUAAUACCGGAUAGGACCUUUAGGCGCAUGUCUUUAGGUGGAAAGCUUUUGCGGUGUGGGAUGGGCCCGCGGCCUAUCAGCUUGUUGGUGGGGUGA